UACGUAGGCAGCAAGCGUUGUUCGGAAUUCCUGGGCGUAAAGAGUGUGUAGGCGGUGCUCUAAGUUCGGUGUGAAAUCUCCCGGCUCAACUGGGAGGGUGCGCCGGAAACUGGAAUGCUUGAGCGUGGGAGAGGAAAGCGGAAUUCCUGGUGUAGCGGUGAAAUGCGUAGAUAUCAGGAGGAACACCUGCGGUGUAGACGGCUUUCUGGACCAUUGCUGACGCUGAGACACGAAAGCGUGGGUAGCAAACAGG
rnacentral:rRNA from 1 species